UAAUGUCUGGGAAACUGCCUGAUGGAGGGGGAGUAACUACUGGAAACGGUAGCUAAUACCGCAUAACGUCGCAAGACCAAAGAAGGGGGGACCGUUCGGGCCUCUUGCCAUCGGAUGUGCCCAGACGGGAUUAGCUAGUAGGUGGGGUAAAGGCUCACCUAGGCGACGAUCCCUAGCUGGUCUGAGAGGAUGACCAGCCACACUGGAACUGAGACACGGUCCAGACUCCUACGGGAGGCAGCAUG
rnacentral:rRNA from 1 species